rnacentral:lncRNA from 1 species
UUACAGUCUGCAUGUUGCAUAUUAAGGAGACAGAGAAGCCAAGAAAGGAGGAGGGAAAAAAUAGGGUUCUCAUGGCAGCAGCAAACUGGAAAGGGGAGUGGGGUGGCAGGGAAUGGAAAGCACAGCAGGCGUAGUCUGUGCCCAGUUAAAAUCUGCACCGAGGUGUGCCGGCUCACACAAAGAGCCAGCGUUGCUUUGUAAUGACCAAAGAAGGUGACCCCGCGUUGUCUCCUUCUAUAGAAUCUUUCUCGUUACCUUUCUACAUACUUUCUCAUUUUCUUCUACUCGUUAUCUUCCAUCUGUCACACCUUUUUAUAAGUCUUAUUCUAUCAUGAAAGUGAGAUUGCUUCACAUUGGGAGCUAUAAGUUUGGCACAGCUGUCAACUAUUUGCAUUGGCAACCGGAUCCUGGGAAGAGUCAGGAUGCUAUUUUAGAACAGAGUCUUCUGAAGCUGUUUCCCAUUCUCAAAAAGUGCUGUUGAAGGAGAAAAAAAAGGUUUAACAGUCUAGAUUACAUACCCAACCCUGUCAGAAUUGGAAAAUUAAAAAUUUAUGGGUUUUUUUCAGGAUAGGUAACUCCCCUAUUCAUUUGUCUCUGGAGAAUCUUUUGUUUCCCUCUCUGCUGCUAAGGAGCUGGCUUGAUGCUGAGAAUAGGCAGAGACGAUAAAGAGGAGAAAAUUGAUCUGUAUGGUAUGGAAAAAUUGAAUCCUGUGUG